AUCCAACCGACGAGUCCCGAAUAGGAAGAAACACUCGUCCUGGAU
rnacentral:hammerhead_ribozyme from 1 species